rnacentral:rRNA from 1 species
UACGGAGGGUGCGAGCGUUGUUCGGAAUUACCGGGCGUAAAGGGCGCGUAGGCGGUUCGCUAAGUUGGAUGUGAAAACUCUGGGCUCAACCCAGAGCCUGCAUCCAAAACUGGCGGGCUAGAGUUCUGGAGGGGGUAGCGGAAUUCCUGGUGUAGCGGUGAAAUGCGUAGAUAUCAGGAGGAACACCGGUGGCGAAGGCGGCUACCUGGACAGAAACUGACGCUGAGGCGCGAAAGCUAGGGGAGCAAACGGG